rnacentral:lncRNA from 1 species
AACACUUCUGCGUGUACAUAGUAAACCCCCAUCCACAUUCAACCCGGCUGAGUUUCCUGGGGCCUGAACCGGGAUGUCUGCCGCUGUAUUCAGCUUCUUACUAGAAGAAAAUACUAAUGUCAGGUGAGAAAAUGAAGGCACGGAGAAGACAAUGUUCUCUCGGUCGCAUAACUGGCAAGAAUUGAGGUUGCCGCAGACCUGUACUGAUUCCCCGCCAGUGACUUGGAUAGCUUCCACCGCUAACAGUUUCACAUCCACUGAGUUAGGGGAAGAGAGAAGUGGAGAAUUAAAUAUUCAAAUCUUCCAUCUAAAAGUGACACUUCUGUUCAUAUUUUAUGGGUUAAGGCAAGUCAAUGGUCAUGCCCAACUUCAGGAAAGCAAGAAAGCAUGUUAUUUUUGUGUGCUCGGAUAGAGACGAGAACUCUAUAGCAGGGAACACUGUGAUGUGUGCCACAGGGGCUAAUUGUCUCUGCACCAGUAAAGUUAUUUUCUAGUAGUGGGGAGUUAAACAUUGAAUGAAUAAUCACAAAGACAUAUGCAAUAGCAUUAUAUUAAAUGCCACAAUAAUAAUAAUAAUGAAAAUUUGUUAAUUGUUCCAAGCAUUUUAUGUACAGUCAUGUGUUUAAAUUUCUACACUCUAACUUUGUGAGAUAGAUACUGUAGAAGACCAGAAUAUGCCACUUCAAAAUAUGUCUUUUUGGUAUAAGUAUUUGUUUGAGAAACAGCAGCUAUAGGAGCAACUCUGAGAAUAGAGUGGAAUUACCUUUUUGUAGGGUGAAUUUAAAUCUAUAAAGGGAAUUUUCAUUUGUAAGAAUGUCUUCCUCUGAGUACUAGGAAGAAAAGGAUGGCACUAAAUUACUAGAAACUCUUAUUAAUGGAGAGGGCACUGACUUAAAUCUGCAUAACAAACUUUAUCUUUGUUUACCAUGCUUUACCUGGUCACUUCCUCAUAACUGCACCCCUACCCCGAUACUCCUCUUUCUUUGUUUCAGCUGAAGAUGAUAUUUAAGUUUGAAUUCAAAGCCACCUCUUUGAAAAUUACUAAUUCCCUAUCUCAUAUAUAUAUAUAUGAAAUAUACAUGUUAAUAAACUUGUGGGAUUUUUGUUGUUGUUGUUAAUCUGUCUUUUGUUAUAGGGGAUCCCAGCUUAGAACUCAUAAAGGAUAGAGAGAAAACUUAUCUUUUCUCCCCCCAA